rnacentral:rRNA from 1 species
UACAGAGGUCUCAAGCGUUGUUCGGAUUCAUUGGGCGUAAAGGGUGCGUAGGUGGCGCUGUAAGUCGGGUGUGAAAUUUCGGAGCUUAACUCCGAAACUGCAUUCGAUACUGCGGUGCUUGAGGACUGGAGAGGAGACUGGAAUUCAUGGUGUAGCAGUGAAAAUGCGUAGAGAUCAUGAGGAAGACCAGUGGCGAAGGCGGGGUCUCUGGGGCCGAUAUUGACGCUGAGGAGCGAAAAGCGUGGGGGAGCGAACAGG